rnacentral:rRNA from 1 species
UACGGGGGGGGCAAGCGUUGUUCGGAAUUACUGGGCGUAAAGGGUUUGUAGGUGGCCAACUAAGUCAGACGUGAAAUCCCUCAGCUUAACUGGGGAACUGCGUCUGAUACUGGUUGGCUUGAGUGCAGGAGAGGAACGCGGAAUUCCAGGUGUAGCGGUGAAAUGCGUAGAGAUUGGGAAGAACAUCCGUGGCGAAAGCGCUCUGCUGGACUGCAACUGACAUUGAGGGACGAAAGCUAGGGGAGCGAAUGGG